CAAGGAAGUUGCACAGAACUUCCCCAACAUCCUCUCCCAAACUGAUAUUGAACCUUCAAAAACACAUGGAGCAACUGUGGAAAGAAAUGGCUGAGGAUAUGCUAAAAAUGUCUGAGUUCAACAAAGCCAACAACUGCUUCAUGUGUGCCACUGAUACAGAACCUGGAUGUGCCUCAAAGACUGACUGGAUUGACUGUAUUGCAUGCCAACGGUGGUUCCAUGUGCUGUAACUAAGUAUGAAGACACGAGAGUUCAACAGAGUAAAGAACACCAACUGGAAGUAAGGUCUUUGUUGUUGAAAAUGUAUGCUGUACCCCAUCCACACUGAAGAGGCUCUGUAAUGCACCAGGGAUAAAGAGAAAGUUAACAAUGAAAUGUUUCGUACUUAUUUGAAGUUAAGUGUCUGUUGACAUGUUGAA